UACGAAGGGGGCUAGCGUUGCUCGGAAUCGACUGGGCGUAAAGCGCACGUAGGCGGACUCUUAAGUCGGUGGUGAAAUCCUGGAGCUCAACUCCAGAACUGCCUUCGAUACUGGGAGUCUCGAGUCCGAGAGAGGUGAGUGGAACUGCGAGUGUAGAGGUGAAAUUCGUAGAUAUUCGCAAGAACACCAGUGGCGAAGGCGGCUCACUGGCUCGGUACUGACGCUGAGGUGCGAAAGCGUGGGGAGCAAACAGG
rnacentral:rRNA from 1 species